rnacentral:rRNA from 1 species
AGUGAACGCUGGCGGCAGGCCUAAUACAUGCAAGUCGAACGGCAGCACAGCAGAGCUUGCUCUGUGGGUGGCGAGUGGCGGACGGGUGAGGAAUACAUGGGAAUCUGCCCAGUCGUGGGGGAUAACGUAUGGAAACGUACGCUAAUACCGCAUGCGCCCUACGGGGGAAAGUCGGGGACCGCAAGGCCUGACGCGAUUGGAUGAGCCCAUGUUCGAUUAGCUAGUUGGCGGGGUAAAGGCCCACCAAGGCGACGAUCGAUAGCUGGUCUGAGAGGAUGAUCAGCCACACUGGAACUGAGACACGGUCCAGACUCCUACGGGAGGCAGCAGUAGGGAAUAUUGGACAAUGGGGGCAACCCUGAUCCAGCCAUGCCGCGUGAGUGAAGAAGGCCCUCGGGUUGUAAAGCUCUUUUGUCCGGAAAGAAAAGCAUCUGGUUAAUACCCGGGUGUUCUGACGGUACCGGAAGAAUAAGCACCGGCUAACUUCGUGCC